UAACUCUGGUUUCCCUUCAUAACGCAUAAAUCUUUCGCCUUUUACUAAAGAUUUCCGUGGAGGGGAACACUCAAAUGAGUCUUUAAAAUUUUUUGAGGCUUCGCUUCGCUACCUAGCGGAGC